CGGGAACAGCUCAAAUUUGAAAUCUGGCGUCUUCGGCGUCCGAGUUGUAAUUUGUAGAGGAUGCUUUUGGGCAGCCGCCGGUCUAAGUUCCUUGGAACAGGACGUCAUAGAGGGUGAGAAUCCCGUAUGCGACCGGAUGGGCACCCUUUACAUAGCUCCUUCGAC
rnacentral:rRNA from 1 species